rnacentral:rRNA from 1 species
GUGCCAGCCGCUGCGGUAAUACGUAGGGUCCGAGCGUUGUCCGGAAUUAUUGGGCGUAAAGGGCUCGUAGGCGGUUUGUCGCGUCGGGAGUGAAAACUCAGGGCUCAACCCUGAGCGUGCUUCCGAUACGGGCAAACUAGAGGUAUGCAGGGGAGAAUGGAAUUCCUGGUGUAGCGGUGGAAUGCGCAGAUAUCAGGAGGAACACCGGUGGCGAAGGCGGUUCUCUGGGCAUUACCUGACGCUGAGGAGCGAAAGCAUGGGAGCGAACAGGAUUAGAUACCCUGGUAGUCCAUGCCGUAAACGUUGGGCGC